ACUCCUACGGGAGGCAGCAGUAAGGAAUAUUGCGCAAUGGGCGAAAGCCUGACGCAGCGACGCCGCGUGGGGAUGAAGGUCUUCGGAUUGUAAACCCUUUCGGCAGGGAAGAUGGGGCGGGCAACCGCUCGGACGGUACCUGCAGAAGCAGCCACAGGCUAACUUCGUGCCAGGCAGCCGCGUAAUACGAAGGUGGCAAGCGUUGUUCGGAUUUUACUGGGCGUACAGGGAGCGUAGGCGGUUAGGUAAGCCCUUCGUGAAAUCUCCGGGCCUAACCCGGAAAGUGCGGGGGGA
rnacentral:rRNA from 1 species